CCACCCUGGACCAGCUGCCAUCUUCUCUCAGCUGUCAGGUCACAAUCAAUUUUCCACACAGGGGUCAAGAAGGUGGCAGAGCUAUUAGCCAAAGAGCCUGGCUGCCUGAGAUGCCGUUUGGAGGUUUGCUGCCCAAGAAUGAUGCUCCUCAAUGAGGGAUAUCUUGGCUUUAGGCCUAGAAGAUUCGGGACAUGCUCUGCUUACUGGAUUAUACUUCCUCUCCAUAAAGAUUAACAAUAACCGCCACUUCAGCUGGGCUUUUCACCUGAUCUAGAAAAAAUAAUUCCAUGCUUCAUAUGGAACCAGAGAAGAUCCCCAAUAGAAAAAGUAUUCUGAAGCCAAAAGAACAAAUUAGGAGGCAUCAAUUUACCAGACUUCAAGCUAUACUACAAGACUACAGUAAUAAUCAGCAGCACUUUCUAAGUGUCAAUCAGCCUGGCACUGUGAAGGACACAGUCAAGUAAAUAUGACCCAAAGGCUGACAUUUGAGAGGCAGAUAAUCAAGAAACAAAAUUAGCACAUAUGGAACAAUAAUGAGAAACAUAAGCACCCUAAGAUUUAUACAAUUUUAGAGUGCAUGGAAAGGCAGGAAGGACUUGAUUAGGAUGCAUGGAGACAAAGGGACUUAUCUAGACUUAUAAGGCAAGCAGACUGGGACAGGGAGCCACGUGUCAACCUUUUGUCACAGAAACGCCUCAGCCCGCACAGUAGAGACAUGUCGUGGAAUUUCAGUUGAAGACGCAACUUAUCACAAGGCCUCUUUGAGAAGAAUGACUUGCUGGCUACGAUCAAGUCUCUUUCAUCAAGGAGCAAUAUUAAACUUUUGUGUUCAAGGGUUACAGAGAAGAGAUUGAUUAACUUGGAAUGCAAUCUAAGACUUUCUCUGAGGAAGAUGUGGAACAAUCUAUUGCUUGAGUGUAAAUGGAAUCACUCCUCUUAAUUUACUAGGGCUGAUAAGGAAAACAGUCAGCUGUAUCCUGGGUGAGUUCCCAGAGUCAGGGAAAAUGGAUAAUCAUGUAAGUAAUUAAAGGGCAGACACUCAAGCUAAUCUGACCCAGUGCCUGUGAGGAGAAAACAUCCCCUGUGUUUAACUGGGGGUGGGCAAUAAAGGUUAGGGCCUGGAGAAUGAAGCAGGGACAGCCAGGUGAGCAAAUGAUCAAGGAGUAGAGUCUCCAUUGAGCAGCCUUCUGUAAAGGACAAUGUCCACGUGCCCUAGGAACCAGACCAGGGAGGCUUGGCUGCAGCUUGUGUCAACCAGCAGGUCAAAUAAUAAAGGACCAGCAUUUAAUAGGGACACUAUGUAGCAGUGAGCCUUCUCUCAAUUUAGCAGGUGGGCUCUCUAGACCAUUUUAAUUCUAUUUGAAUAAAAAUAAGGAAUUACAAAGUAUUUGCACCUUAAGACUGUAAAAUCGUUCUUAUCCAUUUCUAAGGCAUUCCAACAGUUUAGGACAAAGCCUUAAUUGCUUGCAGGUUCUACCUUGCCAAUCAUAACAUUACCUAACGCCAAAGAA